AAUUUGUGACAAUGCGCAAAAGCCUGCUCCAGCUAUGCCGUGUGUGUGAAUAAGGUCUUCGGAUUGAAAAUCACUUUAAGCUGGGAGGAAGGCUAGUACGUGAAUACCUCGCUGUUUUUACGUAACCUACAGAAUACGCACCGGCUUACUUCGUGCCAGCAGCCGCGGUAAGACGAAGGGUGCAAUCUUUAAUCGGAAUUAAUGGGGGUAAAGCGGUCGUAGGUGAAUUGAUAAGUUGGUAAUGAAAUGCCCAGGCUCAAUCUAGGAACUUCUUUCAAAAGUGGUAAGGUAGUGUAUGGCAGAGGGUGGUGGAAUUACCUGUGUAGCGGUGAAAUGAGUAGAUAUAGGAAGUACCACCAGUGGCGAAGGCGAACAACUAGGCUAAUACUGACACUGAGGUGCGACAGCGUGGGGAGCAAAC
rnacentral:rRNA from 1 species